UGCACCUGGACUGAGGGCGCGGUCAUGAAAACAAUGUGACAUGCCAUUGGAUGUUGGGACACAUAACGACGCUAAAGAUCAGCCAAUGAAUUUGAAUUAACAACCACAAGGUCGCGGGUAUGGCUGUGGAAAGCGCGGUGGAAGAGAGAAGUUGUUGAAAGAUCGUCCAUGCAGUGCUGCAAGGCAAGUAUAUCAAACUCAGCUUAGUAGAAUUAACUUGACAUUGCUUGACCACUAUGGCUCGUAGUUUACUGAGACGUGCGCGCCAAGAUGUGCUGCGUGAUGAAGUGAGAGAAAUAGGAAAUAGAAGUAACCCACUGUGCUAGCUUUGCCCUGUAAAAUGUAAUGGACAUGUAAAGGAUAAGCCAAGUAUUUCCUUUUAUUUCGUGGAAAGGAAGUAGGCUAAAGCAGCUGAGGUGAAUUAUUUGACUACAUAUAAACGUACAUUGCAUACAUGUAUUUGGAUUUUGGCAGGUUUCAUGAUUCAUCAGGGUUUUUUUCUUCCUCUACAGAUUAGUGGCGUGAGUUCUCAAAUUUAUUCAGUAAGCUGUAAAGAAAAGGAAAAGGCCCACAGCAAAAGUUUGGACACCUUGCAGUUGACCGGGGGGCCCAAACUGCACGCCAGUAUGCCUUAAGAUAAACCCCGACAAGGGAUCCAAAGUGGAGCGGAACACGUCUAAGAAACAACAUGCAGACUACUAGUGGAGAGCAUAAAAAGUUCUUAUUCUUAUCCUGAGGAUAACAUAAUCUGUUGUUCAGUAGCACUGUUCUCUGUUUCAUGGUCAAUGUCAACAGCACGGGUGGCCUGCUUGAUAGGGGAAAAGUGAAAUAUAGGCUGCAAAUCCUAUUCACAUUUAGCUAGCAUUAGUGCUAGCCAGUUGGUAUGUUACUGUCUGCUGACAGGCUUCUCUGUCACUCUGUCCUGCUUUAGGUGUAGCAUUGUCUUAAGUAUUAUCUUCAUCUCAGUUCAUUGUAAUAGGCUAUACAUUGACACUUGUGGUGCUUACUCUGCAAACACAGUCCCAUUCGUUCAGUUAUUUUGGUAAAAGUUUGUGUUAAAGUGACAACUUACAACAUAUCAAUGAGGCUUUUGUUUUACUCUAGUUGUUCUUUGCAUAUAAUUACAUUGCAAAUUUCUCCAAGGGAACCCAAAUGGCCAGCAGCAGCCCUAAAUGUGAGACUUUCAGAAAGCUAGAGCUACUUCUAAACCUGCAGGUUAUGUGCCUCAAAUAUUCCCUUUUUCAUUGUUCCAGAUGUGGGGAGAAAGUGUCCCCUUCUUUUGUGCUCAAAUGUGCGUUUGCAUUAGAUUUUUUUUUCUAUGUGCCUUUGUUCAUGCAUAAGUGUUAGUUGUUCUUGGAUUGUUCCAGGAAGGGUUAUCUUUUUGUCAAUAAAAUCCAUGUUAAUGAUUGAAA